GACAGAGGAUGCAAGCGUUAUCCGGAAUGAUUGGCGUAAAGCGUCUGUAGGUGGCUUUUAAGUCCGCCGUCAAAUCCCAGGCUCAACCCUGGACAGGCGGUGGAAACUACCAAGCUGGAGUACGGUAGGGCAGAGGGAAUUUCCGGUGGAGCGGUGAAAUGCGUAGAGAUCGGAAAGAACACCAACGGCGAAAGCACUCUGCUGGCCGACACUGACACUGAGAGACGAAAGCUAGGGAGCGA
rnacentral:rRNA from 1 species